rnacentral:rRNA from 1 species
UACGUAGGGUGCAAGCGUUUAAUCGGAAUUACUGGGCGUAAAGCGUGCGCAGGCGGUUGUGCAAGACAGAUGUGAAAUCCCCGGGCUCAACCUGGGAAUUGCAUUUGUGACUGCACGGCUAGAGUGUGUCAGAGGGGGGUAGAAUUCCACGUGUAGCAGUGAAAUGCGUAGAGAUGCGGAGGAACACCGAUGGCCGAAGGCAGCCCCCUGGGCUAACACUGACGCUCAGGCACGAAAGCGUGGGGAGCAAACAGG